GUUGGCAACCAUAGCAGAAAGGAAACACCCGUUCUCAUCCCGAACACGGCCGUUAAGCUUUCUGCGCCGAUGGUACUAAUCGCGAGAGUGAUUGGGAGAGUAGGUGUUGCCAACA
rnacentral:rRNA from 1 species